CUUGUUUUAGGAUCAGAAAAAACAGUGUAGUCACUUCCAAUAAAAACUUUCAUUGAUAUCUGCAAGUAAUCAGUUAUAUCUCUAAAGUAUUAAUGGAUGUAAUUUUAAAAAUGUAUGUCAUCCAAAUGAUUGUACAUUGCUAGAUUGUCUUACUUGUGUGCAUUUUAUUCCCUUUGGUACUGGCCAUACAUGUAAUAUGUGGUGUAUGCGUUUUAUUAAGUAAAUAGAGCAAAGCUUAGGAUCCUGGGUUUUCUGUACUAGGAGAAUGACAUCUAAGCCUGAAAUGGGAUAUAUGUGUGUUAGAACUUUUUCAGUCUCACUUGAUGUCCUUUUGCCAACUUAGGUGAUGACUUUGAAGGAAAGAGAGAAUUCGAGUACUGAAUUUGCUGACCUAUCAUCAGCAAGGUUCCUACCCAGUAGUGUCCCACAUAAGGCUGAAAAUCAUAUUAACUGCAUUUAGGACAGAAACAUAAAUCACAGGUAAAGUAACCUUGUAAUAAAAAUAAAGUAUAUUGCAGAGGCCUUGGCUAGGUUCAUGAUGAUAAUGGACCUUAUCUGAAUGUAAUGAUUUCAAACUUUGAGCUUAAAAUGACUUUCUGAAACCCAGUCAGUGUGCCUCACUAGACUUUUCAGAGCAUGUAAUUUGCAGCAAAAUAUAUUGACAUGUGAAUAUUUUGAAUAGUUAAAAAUGGCAGGUGCAGUAUUGCACUUUGCUGGUUCCUCAAAUAUCCUUUUUUAUUUUUAUAAAUAUUCUAGCUUAAUAUAUGUUUUUCUUUUUUUUCCUGAACUUUAUAUGUUGUUCAAAGCAAAAUAGAAACCCUUCUUUGGAUCCCAGAAAACACACACAUAUGAAGUGGAAACACGGACAUGUCCUUUGCUAAAAUGUCACUACCACCUCUUGAUCAAAAAUUGAGUGCCAGAGCUGUACAGGAAGGAAGGAAACUAAUAAUUGUGGAACAUAUGGAAUGCAAUGAGUAUGUUUGAAUGAGCUGUUGCACAUACAUUGUUCGGGGACUUGCCAUGAGUGGAGAUGUACUGUCUGCAGGUAAGAGUCGUUUUCAGAGCUGUACCAGUUAUUGGUAAAGACCUUGGCUGGACUUAUGAUGAGAUAUGCUGACUAUGAGCAUGAUGAAGUGAAGCUCAAUAUGAUUUCUCUGAAUUCCAGCCUAAGUGUCAAUCCACAGACUCAGGAUACAAAUUUUCUGAUAGUUAAUGAGUUGUGAAUUUUAUAAGGGUUUUUCUGUUGAAAAAUUCCUAGGGGGAAUGAAGAAGUUGCAUGUCUUUCAGGUUGGCUCUAGAUCUCCCAGUACAUUUUCCUUGUGUAGGCUAUUUUCUGUGUUUGUAGCAUUGGUAUAUCUCACCUUUGUCUUCUUUUACACUGUGCAUUUCAAGUGAAAACUUUAAGAGACUAAGGACUCUAGCAUCACUCAGUUUCAGCCUCUUACCAAACUUUCCUAAGGGCAAGUCCCCAACCUCUGUGAGGCGUUUACCACGUGAAUAAGAAGUAGCCAGUUUGUUGGUGGAGACAUUUCUUUGAUCUAAGAUGAGACAUUAGUAAAUUAUUAAUUUUUAUUUGGUUUUCUGUAUCAUGAAAAGACAUGGAUGGCAAGUUAGAAGUUUUGACUCUUUGUGAUUUAUUUAAAUGCAUGAAAUUGGCUUUUUUACAGUUGUUGAUGCUGAGCCCGAAAGAGAUGAAAUGAUUCACUUAAUGCCAUACAUUUCUUCAGUGAUGACAUUGGUAACUGAAAUCACGUUAUAAUCUCACAUUCUUGAAUAUUUCUCUGUGUUUGUGUGAGUAGUAGGUGGUAACUGUAUUAUCUAAGUUAUCUUUUAUUGGCAUUCUAUUAGGUGGUUGUGCUUUGCUUAUAGUAGCUGUUAUGAAGGAGAAGUAGCUUAGGAAAACUCAUAUUAAAAAGGUUCAUUGCACAUUUUAAUACACUAACAUAUCCACCUGUCUUAGUUACCUAGCGCUGCUGUGAUAGAAAUAGUACAAAUGGAUGCCUUAACAAACAAAUUUAUUUUCUCACAGUUUAAAAACCCAGUACCCGGUGCCGUCGAGUCGAUUCCAACUCAUAGCGACCCUAUAGGACAGAGUAGAACUGCCCCAUAGAGUCUCAUAGUUUAGGAGGCUAGAAAUCCAAAUUCAGGGCACCGGCCGCAGGGGAAGGCUUUCUUUCUCUCAGCUCUGGGGCAAGGUUGUUGUUCCUUCAGCUUGUUUGCUGGUUCCUUGGAGAUCUCUGUGUGGCUUGGAUUUAUAGUCCCCCUAUCGCUUGUUUGUUUAAUCUCUUAAAACUCAAAAUGGAUUGACUGCAGACACACCCUACACUUAUCCUGCCUCAUUAACAUAACAAAGACAACCCAUUCCCAAAUGGAAUUAUAACCACAGGCAUUACCCAUUGCCUUCCAGUGGAUUCUGACUCCCAGUGACCCUAUAGGACAGGGUAGAACUGCCCCAUAGGGUUUCCAUGGAGUGGCUGGUGGAUUUGAACUGCCGACCUUUUGGUUAUUAGCUGAUCUCUUAACCACUGUGCCAGCAGGGCUCCAACCACAGGCAUUGAGGUGUAGCCUUAAUGUGGGAUUAUUUGACCUUGGAUGUUUGAUGAAACCUGGAGUGGUCAGUCAUUUAUGGGUGAAGAGAAACAGUGGUAGUUUCUGACACAGCCCCAUUUUAUUAACCCAAAUUCAUUUUUACAUGUGGUCUAAAGAAAAUGUCCUGUGAACAGAAAUCCCUGGAAGGAGAUUAAGUCUUUGUUUGGUUGGCUUGAUGAUAAGUCAGUUAUGGACCUGACUUUAGUUUUCAUUCUUGCUAAAAGAAUCUGAGAUCCAGUCAAGCUAAUUUAUGAGGAGAGUAGUUUGAAGAGUAAUGGAAGGAAUGAGUUAGCAAUAGAUGGAGGAUGAAAAGAAGGAAAGAAGGAAAGCAACCAGUUUAAGGUGAUUGGAGCAUGACCUUGCAUUGCUCACGUGUGGAGUGAGGAGUGUAAAUUAUUCCAAUUGUUAGCAACAAGAAAAAUCUCACUAACAGUAGGUUUGAAUAUUAGAACAAUGAGGGGAGAUUAGAAGUCAUAAUUGCCAUGUACAUGUCAAAUUUGCGUGUUUCCUCGGUUUGAGUCUCAGCCACUUAUUCCAUAUUUGUUUGAGGUAAUUUUGUAGACAAGAUUAUGUCUUUGGUUGAGAUUAUUGUAAUUAUCAAAGUAGACUACUCAAAUGGCUGUUACUGCUGCCUUUGCUGGGAUGGGUAAAUGAUUGCACACUUCCAGGCAGCUUUGGUUAAAUCAGUGGCUCUCAAACGUUAGUGAGCACCAGAAUCACCUAGAGGAAUUGUCCUACCCUCAGGUUCUAACUCCUUAGGCUUAAUUCUGAGAACUUGCUUUUGAACAAGCUCCCAGAUGCUGCUGGCCCAGGUGCUCCACUUAGAGAGCAACUAGAUUAUAUUUAGGAGGAUACAUUCGUUUUCAGAAAAGUGCUAUUUUAUGACUUAUAUACAGAUUUGGAGAACAUAAUGAAAUAGCUUAUAGCAUGUUUAUAAAUGUGAAAAUGAGCAGCAAAUUUUGAAAGGAAUUUAUCUUUUGUAAUAUUAAAAAUCUAAAUGAAAAAUAGUAUAUUUAUAUUUUUAUUGCAAUAUUACAUAAACUAAGAAUGACUAAUAGCAGCCAUUAGGGUUAAAUAGGGAAGAAACAUGCACAUAAUUUCUUUGGGAAUAUCAAUUCAUAUAUCAUUUGUGAAGAAGAGAUUGCCAAUAUACAUUUAAAGUAUGUACUUCAUUUGAGGAAAGAAACUCUUUUUUUAAAUAUAUAUGGUGAAAGUAUACACAGAAAGAUACACCAUUUCAACAAUUCCUACAUGUACAGUUCAGUGACAUUGUUUGCAUUCAAGUUGUGCUGCCAGUCUUGCUAUCCUUUUCCACAUUAUUGUACCACUAUUAUCCUAUACUCAUUGCCUCCUAAGCUUCCUAUCCAACGAAUCAAGUUGAUGUUAGUUUGAUGUCACAUACAUAAUUCUUUAAAAGAGCACAAUUCUCAAAACAAAUGUACAUUUCUGAAUAAAAUAAGGUAUUUUUUGGUUCAGUGAAGACUGAGUUUUGGUUUAAGGUUUAAAGCUGAAAGAUUAUCUAGGUCAGUAGUUUGAGGGGGCUCAUUCUACAUCAGUGGCUCCAGAAAGUCUGGAUUCCACUGAGAAUUUGAAACUUUCUACAUUUUUCCCCAUUUUUAUUUAUAGAAUCUUUGAUCAAGACAUCAGCAAUGGUAGUUGGGCGCUAGUUUUUUUUUUUUUUUUGAUCUCAUGGCAUAGAAGGCAGUUGUUCAUGGAGACACACAGAUAUGGACUUGAUUUUCCUUCAAUUUCUGACCCUUCUUCUUCCUGUGUUUGUUGCUUCAGGUAAAUGGAGACCAAUUGUUGCACCUUGGGUGGCUGCUUGUUAGCUUUUGGGACUCCAGUCACUACUCAACAAACUAGGCGGUAGAACAGAAGCACUGAGAAAUAGUAUACUAAGCUAAUUGGGAUGUCCCUCAAAACCAUGACCCUAAACCUCCAAACUAAGAAAACAAAUCCCAUGAGUUGUUUGGUUGUGCAUAAAGAGAUUAAACAGCUGUUCCUGCUCAUUUUUGUUAAGAAUAUGUAUAGCACAAUAUUUGCCAGUUCAACAUUUUUCAGGUUUAUAGCUUAGUGAUGUCAAUUACAUUAAUCAGGUGUAUAACCUUGAUUGAUGCUGAAUUUCCCAUCACCAUGAAUAGGAACACACUGCUUCCCAAACAGUAGCUCCCUUUCUCCCCCUUCUUCUUACCCUGGUAACCACUAAUAAACUUUGGUCUCUAUGUAUUUGUCUCUUCUUGUCAUUUUGUUAGUGAGGUCAGACUGUAUAUGUCCUUUUGUGGUUGACUGAUUUCACUCAUAAUAUCUUCAAGGUUAUUCAUGUUGUAGCAUGUACUAGGGCUUCGUUUCUCUUUCUGGUUCAGUAGAAUUCCAUUGUAUGUACGUACCACUUUUGCUUUUCUGUUCGUCCGUUGAUGGACAUUUCGGUUGUUGCACCUUUUGGCUAUAGCAAAUAGUGCUGCAAUGAACAUCAACGUGCAGGUUUCUGUUCGUAUUGUUGUCCUUAAGUCUCUUGGGUAUAUACCUAGGAGUGAGGUUGCUGAAUCAUAUGGUAGUUCUAUUUUGAGUUUUUUGAGGAACCUACACAUUGUUUUCCACAAUAGUUGUAUCAUUGUGCAUUUCCACCAUCAGUGGGUAAGGGUUCCAGUUUCCGGGCCUUCUUCUAACAUUCGUUAUUUUUCUAAAACAUUUUUUUGAUAAUGUAUGAAAAUGUUCUGUUUUUUGAUAAUGGAUUAACUACACUAAUUUGGAAACCCGGGUGGCGUAGUAGUUAAGAGCUACAGCUGCUAACCAAAAAGUUGGCAGUUCAAGUCCACCAGGUGCUCCUUGGAAACUCCAAGGGGCAGUUCUACUCUGUCCUUUAGGGUCGCUAUGAGUCGUAAUCAACUCAAUGGCAAUGAGUGUAUUUUUUGUUUGUUUUUUACUCUAAUAUUUACUAUAGAAGGUCACUUUGGGGAAAAAAAAAAAGACCAGUAAAUAAAAAUUUCUGGAGAACAGUAGGUGUUUGUUUGGGAAAGCCAUUUAAGAGUAUAUGUGUUCUCAAUUGGCAGAUUUCCUAGACAUGGUGAUAAUUGCCUGAUACUUACCAUCUUAGGAAGGUUUAUCUGGUUUGUGUUUAAAGUUACGUUUUGAAUUCCAUGUAAGUUGCGUUACUUUUUAAGGAGGCAUAUGAUCUAAAUUCAUUUUAAUCAUCUACUUGUUGAUCGUUUUUAGUGGUCUGUAAAAUGGCACUACUAAUGGAUUUCUUGGUAUUGGGUAUGGGAAGUAUCCAAUUCCUUGGGAAGUUUUAACAUAUACAGUAAAACCUAUGAGAGCUGGAACUCAACAGGCCUGCCUUGUAUUUUCAGGUCUUGCAAGGUUUCCAUCUUUGAUAGCAUGCAGCCUUACCACUUUUAUAUCCUUAUCUGUUAGUGGAAAAUAUUUGAGUUUCCUUCUCUGACAGGUUUCUGCCUUACACAGGUUUCAGCUUUUGCAGGUUUUACUGUAUAGUACAGCUUUGUUAUACAUGCUCUGUUGGAUGUGUUUAGCUCUGGAAAAUUAGUUCUGUUUCUAACUGUGUUACUCUGUGUGGCUAGUGUUAUAAUGAAUUGUCAUCCACUUUUUCUUAGCAACUUUGUAAAGUUAGUCACUUUAGGUACGAUUCCUCUAAGUUGGGAAGUGCUGAAGAACAUAUAUCCUGGUCUAGUGACAGUUCCUUCCUGUGCUAGAGCAGCUGAAGAAGGGAAUGAGACUUCCAACAAGAAGACUUCUUUACUUUGGAUUGGACCGAUUGGAAUAAGAAGAGAUCACAGAGAGUUAAAAAAAAUGUGGGUUAGAGUUUGUCUGAGAAUAAGUUUAGUAUAAUGAAAUCGAGUUUCUUAUUUUUGCAGUGUGAUAGCAAAUUUUGGAUACUGUACGGUUUACGGUCAAUAUCUAUUACAUAAUGUAUAUCAUGUAUAAUCCUCUCUAGUGAACUUGGCUGAACCGAUGUUGAGUCAACAAAAGAAAUACCCUAUCCCUGAGAAAUUGUUUCUGGGGGUCAUAAAGAUGAAACUUUCAUAAAAGCCUCGAUUUAUUGAAUAGUGCUUCUUGUUUGCUUAAGGUGAUUACACUGCUAGAUUUUGAAAAAUGGUUCGAAGAAGCUACAGGUUAGCUUUUUCAGAAAUUCUUCCUUUAUGUGAAAAAAGAUAUAUUGACGAUUCACCAGAGCCUUGAUGUCCUUGUUGCUGCUCAGACUCCAAGGCCUAGUAUCAUAAUUGGCACCUAGUAGGUACUUGAUGGAUAGUCAGUAUUUGUUCUAUUGGUAUAUCAUUGCAUAUUGUCACAUAUACCAAUAUCACAUAAUAUUGGUAUAUUAGUAGAAUCAAUUCAUGAAAGAACAAAAGGUGCAAGUAGAGGCAAAGUUUGGUGCUCACACCUUCUUUGGGAGGGUUUGGGACAAGAACAAGGACAUUUUAUUGUGCCACAUUGCUGGGAGCAGGGGAUUGGGGAAAUUGUAUUUCCUUGAACUCAGCUCUCCUAUUUCAUCAAUUAGAUAUUUCCAGGAGAGCACUGUAUUUCAGGAUAGGGCUUUAUGAGAAAUAGAGAAGGGUGGCCAUUGAGGUUAUUUUCUUUUAUAGAAUGCCUCUACCAGGUUCAGCCCAGCUCAUUGCAGAAUAAAUCUUCUACAUAACAGCAAUAACAAAAAACAAAACAAUGUGUUUACUGGAACUUGUCUGUUGUGAAAUCAUUUAUAAAUAGAUGGUAUUUCUUUUCCUGAGGAGAGGACUUAAUUGUUAAUGUACAGCAGAGCACUUUACUACAUAAAAAUGUUAAAAUGCAUGUAUUAUGGAUUGAAUUGUGUCCCCCCAAAAUGUAUGUCAACUUCGGUAUGCCAUGAUUUCCAGUAUUGUGUGGUUUUCCUCCAUUUUGUGAUCUGAUGUAAUUUUCCUAUGUGUUGUAAAUCCUGAUCUCUGCUGUGGUUAAUGAGACAAGAUUAAAAUGUAUGUCAACUUGGGUAUGCCAUGAUUUCCAGUAUUGUGUGGUUUUCCUCCAUUUUGUGAUCUGAUGUAAUUUUCCUAUGUGUUGUAAAUCCUAAUCUCUGCUGUGGUUAAUGAGACAAGAUUAGGUUAUGUUAAAUAUCAUCAAUUAGAUAUUUCCAAGCAAGCACCAUAUUUCAGGAUAGGGCUUUAUGAGAAAUAGAGAAGGGUGGCCAUUGAGGUUAUUUUCUUUUAUAGAAUGCCUCUACCAGGUUCAGCCCAGCUCAUUGCAGAAUAAAUCUUCUACAUAACAGCAAUAACAAAAAACAAAGCAAUGUGUUUACUGGAACUUGUCUGUUGUGAAAUCAUUUAUAAAUAGAUGGUAUUGCUUUUCCUGAGGAGAGGACUUAAUUUUUAAUGUAUAACAGCACUUUACUACAUAAAAAUGUUAAAAUGCCUGUAUUAUGGAUUGAAUUGUGUCCCCCAAAAUGUAUGUCAACUUAGGUAUGCCAUGAUUUCCAGUAUUGUGUGGUUUUCCUCCAUUUUGUGAUCUGAUGUAAUUUUCCUAUGUGUUGUAAAUCCUGAUCUCUGCUGUGGUUAAUGAGACAAGAUUAAAAAAAAAUAUGUAUUUCCAAGAGAGCACCAUAUUUCAGGAUAGGGCUUUAUGAGAAAUAGAGAAGGGUGGCCAUUGAGGUUAUUUUCUUUUAUAGAAUGCCUCUACCAGGUUCAGCCCAGCUCAUUGCAGAAUAAAUCUUCUACAUAACAGCAAUAACAAAAAACAAAGCAAUGUGUUUACUGGAACUUGUCUGUUGUGAAAUCAUUUAUAAAUAGAUGGUAUUGCUUUUCCUGAGGAGAGGACUUAAUUUUUAAUGUAUAACAGCACUUUACUACAUAAAAAUGUUAAAAUGCCUGUAUUAUGGAUUGAAUUGUGUCCCCCAAAAUGUAUGUCAACUUAGGUAUGCCAUGAUUUCCAGUAUUGUGUGGUUUUCCUCCAUUUUGUGAUCUGAUGUAAUUUUCCUAUGUGUUGUAAAUCCUGAUCUCUGCUGUGGUUAAUGAGACAAGAUUAAAAAAAAAUAUGUAUUUCCAAGAGAGCACCAUAUUUCAGGAUAGGGCUUUAUGAGAAAUAGAGAAGGGUGGCCAUUGAGGUUAUUUUCUUUUAUAGAAUGCCUCUACCAGGUUCAGCCCAGCUCAUUGCAGAAUAAAUCUUCUACAUAACAGCAAUAACAAAAAACAAAGCAAUGUGUUUACUGGAACUUGUCUGUUGUGAAAUCAUUUAUAAAUAGAUGGUAUUGCUUUUCCUGAGGAGAGGACUUAAUUUUUAAUGUAUAACAGCACUUUACUACAUAAAAAUGUUAAAAUGCAUGUAUUAUGGAUUGAAUUGUGUCCCCCCAAAAUGUAUGUCAACUUAGGUAUGCCAUGAUUUCCAGUAUUGUGUGAUUUUCCUCCGUUUUGUGAUCUGAUGUAAUUUUCCUAUGUGUUGUAAAUCCUAAUCUCUGCUAUGGUUAAUGAGACAAGAUUAGGUUGUGUUAAAGGGGAUUAGGGUGGGAUGCAACACCCUUACUCAAGUCACAGCCCUGAUCCAGUACAAGGGGAGUUUUCCUGGGGUGUGGCCUGCAUCACCUUUUGUCUUACAAGAGAUAAAAGGAGAGAGAAGCAAGCAGAAGAUAGGGACCUCAUACUACCAAGAAAGAAGCACCAAGAGUGGAGCCUGUCCUCUGGACCUGAAGUCCCUGUGCUAAGAAGCUCGUAGACCAUGGGAAGAUUGAUGACAAGGAUCUAUCCCCAGAACCAAGUGAGAGAGAAUGCCUUCCCUGGGAACUGGCACCCUGAAAAUUCAGACUGCUAGCCUCCUAAACUGUGAGAGAGUAAACUGUUUGUUAAAGCCAUCCACUAGUGAUAUUUCUAUUGUAGAAGCACUAGAUAACUAAGACGGCAUGUAUCAUAUUUUUGGCUUCUAAUAUAUUGUCAGUGAAUGUAUCAGUAUACAAAUAUUGAAGUUGUAAAGCAUUUCAUUUAUUGGAUCCACAGUCAACGCCCAUGGAAGCAGCAGUCAAGAAAUCAAAUGACGCAUUGCAUUGGGAAAAUAUACUCCAAAAGACCUCUUGAAAGUAUUGAAAAGGAAAGAUGUCACUUUAAGGACUAAGGUACAGUGGACCCAAGCCAUGGUGUUUUCAGUCACCUCAUAUGCAUAUGAAAGCUGGACAGUGAAUAAGGAAGACUGAAGAAGAAAUGAUGCUUUUGAAUUAUGGUGUUGGUGAAGAAUGUUGAAUAUACCAUAGACUGCCAAAAGAAUGAACAAAUCUGUCUUGGAAGAAGUACAGCCAGAAUGCUUAUUAGAAGUGAGGAUGGUGAGACUUUGUCUUACAUACUUUGGACAUGUUAUCAAGAAGGACCAGGCCGUGGAGAAGGACACCAUGCUUGGCAGAGUUGAGGGUCAGCGAAAAAGAGGAAGACACUCAACGAGGUGGAUUGACAAAAGGACCACAGCAGUGGGCUCAAGCAUAACGAUUGUGAGGAUGAUACAGGACUGGGCACUGCUAUAUUCUCUUGUACAUAGGGUCGCUGUGAGUUGGAACUGUCUCAAUGGCACGUAACAACAAUAUAUUGUUUAUAUUUUAUGGUGUUGGUUUUUGUAAUGUACAUAAAUAUCUUCUGAAAUUCAGUGUAAAAAUAUGUACUGAAGAGUUUUAAAAAUGUAGAUGAACACAAACAGAUAAAUCACAAGAAAAUCAUGGCAAGCAAACGUGUAUAGUAUAACAUCUCAGACACAUUAACCAUUCAUAAAUGUCUUUGUAAAUCCAGUUGUGAUACAUUUUAAAUUUUGUGGAGAUGUAAAAGGUCACGAUAGCUAGGAGGUAAGGGAGUAGCUCUCAGUGGACACAAAUGGAGUCUAGAAAGAUGGAUCAAGAUUGUUGUAUGACAGGCACUGUUCAAAUUCCAUUAGAUGGCUGUCUGUCUGGAGCUCUAGCUGAGGACUUUGACUUCUUUAACUGUAUUUACACCCUCCCAACUAUCCCGGCGAUUCUCAUCUCAGAUUCUCUAAUUCACGUAUCGGCCAGAGCAGUCUGAAGGGAAUAGAUGAUGAACGUCACCACAUUGUCUUCAAAAGCCUUCAGUUGGCAUGUUUCAAGAGUUUUAGAAAUAAGGAAUGAUCAGAGAAGAACAUAAUUUGCCACAGUAAUAACUAGAAAUCAUCCACUUUUAGUUGUUGAACAUUUUAAUUCGUAACUUUUGUGACAUCCUUUCAUUCUCAUCCACUGUCCCCUGAGAAUCUCCAGAAAUUUGUACAGAAGGAUGAGUUAUGGUAGAUUGGUAGUUACAGUUUUUAAAUUCUUCUGGAACAUCCCGAGGACUUAACUUGUGGACAGCUAUGGAAGUCUAAACCUCCUGCUGCUCUAAGGGGCCUGUGGUCUGAGUCCUGCUGUAGAGCCAGUCUCUAGGUCAUCUACUCUGUAUUCAUCACCUGGUCCAACAGCAUCAUGACAGGACCUAUCACUCCAGAUUCCUCCCCAGAAUGCCCCAACUUCACAACUGACAAGUGCCUAAAGAGCAUCUUCUCAACUGAAAAAUAUUUUCAGUGCAUAAAACUGGAACUAUUUGGGCUACACUGGACAGUAUCAAGUAGACAUAAACCAGCCCUAGAGGAAUGUAUAGACAGAAAGAGAAGAAUUCAGCUAGCCUCUUCACCCAGCCACAGAAGUAUGGACAAAAUAAUAAUGACUAUUCACCCUCAGCUUAAGUUGAACUUCAUCUUGCCUUUCAAGCAUUUACAUUUCAUUGGGUAAUCCUUGGAUUUGGGAAGAGAAAAACCAAGAACAUUGGUUUUUCUUGCUAUGAAAUGCUGACUUUCCUUGGAAAAAUUAAUCUAUUAGUUUAAAAAACAGCUCUAAAUUUUAAAGUCAUAUUAAAUGCUUUUCUGGAUGUGUGUAGCCUUACCAGUUUGCUGUUUAAAUGCUUGAAGAUUAUUAUUUCAUUGCUUCAGUGAAAUGUAAACUGCUAAUUAAAUGAUAAAAUGUAUAAAUUAUUCAUUGGACAUUAGGAUAUUCAGAUAAAAUUAGAUAUGUAAUAGUUUUAUUAUUGUUUUUUCAUUGAAAUCUAAUACUCAGGCAUAGAGGCGUAGAUUUAUGAAUAAAAAAUUGUUUUCAGAUAAUUUUAACGGUUGGUGUGAUAGAGCUGGUUUGAUUACCCGGUGGCAGAAAUUUUUUUUUAUAAUUUUUGUUUUGAAGAAAUAUUUUAAUAACUCAUGUUGGAAAUAGAAUUUUUAGGAUCUCUCUGAUACGCAAUAACACACUUUGGGAUAAUGUAUGUAUGUAUAGUUUUUGUAUUCCAUUCUAAUUAUUGACUUGCCUCUGUGUUCAUUAAGCUGUUGGAUGGGAAGGAGCGGGGGCAUUGGACUGUGUGUGUGAGACAAGCACCUCGUAUAGAACCUAAACUACCUCUUCGAGAAAUACACACACAGCAAACUAUUACCAAUACAAGUGUUCUCGUUAACCCUGCAUGUUUUUAUUUUAUGACUUUGUGUAUAAAGGGGUGGAUAUUAGACAGUUGUGUGUAGUAGUCAGAUGUUUUUGUUUAUACCAUGUAGUGCAGAAAUUAUUGUCCUGUUUUGUAAAUAUAUUUUGCCUAAAGUUGUAGAGCAAAGCUUUUUUUUUUAGCUUGUGGAAAUGAAAUAGACCAGUGAAUAGAACAAACCUCUGAAGUGUUGAGUGGGAUAUUUUGACUUUUGUAUAUAUAAAGAUACUUCUUUAAAACAGCUUUCUGAGUGUAUAGACACUGCUGAUAUACAUAAAUGUUUUUUUUUUAAUAUGAGAAACUUUUUAAAAAUCACUAUAAUCUGUAGCUGCCUUCUUGGAGUUUAUUGGUUUGUCAGAAGUGCUAUGGACAAGGAUAUUGUUUUGUGAUCUCAAGUAUAUAAUAUACAACAUUCUUUAUAUUUUUUAUUGGUGUAGAGAUUGCAAGCAUGCAUAUGUUUUAUAUGCCUCCCAUUGUUAAAACAAUAUCGUGGAAAUGUAUAACUUUUGCAGAUGAUUAUAAGAAUUCUAUAUGGGUGGCUCUUUGGGGUUUAUUGUUAAGACAGAUAUGUUUGUAAUAUUUGUAGAUAUUUUUGACAGAUAAUGACAGAGAAUAAAUUUUUUUUUUUUUUUAGUGAUCCAUAGUUCGCCUUUGUAGUCUGCAUUGUAUUGCUGGGAUUUACUGGGAAGUUGAGUUAACAAAAGUCUCUUUGAGAUAUAUUUUUGUUAUUUGUAUUCUUGGUGUCAGAAAGGGGGAUAGAAUGAUGAUUAAAAAGUUUUUUUUUAAACCAUACAUAGUCAUUUAGAAGAAAAACUUUAAGCUAUAAUUAAGCUUUUGUUGUUCGUUUUAUAUAAACAUUUCUCUGCCUCUUUAAGAGACUUGUAAAGAGCAUCUUACAGAGUCUGUAUUUCAGUGUUCAUAUUCAUGGCAAUGUCCAAGAAAACUUUGUAAAUAAUGGGAAAAUAAAAUAUUUGAAAUUUAAACAUCUAGUAUUUCUAGAUGUAUUGAGAGUCUCACAAAGUAUAAUUUUAUAAAUUUCUUGUUGUAAAUUUAUAUUUCUAUUGUCUAUUGCAAUGGACUUGGCUGUAUUGAUCAUCCAUGAACAGGCUCUUAGAGCUAUACAAGAUUUAUCAUCUGUUAAUUUGGUCGUUAGGAGGACAAAAUAACAACGGAAAUUCUCAAAGACAAGGCCUGUUCUCAUGUUGAAGAAAAGUUUCCCAUUGUGUAAAUAGUAAUACUCCCUCCCCCACCACCAAAAAAAAAAAAAAAUGAAAUGCAUGAAGACAAUGUAAAUUCAUUUGGUCUUUCAGGAUGUUAUCUAGUUUCUCAAUUUGAUAUUUUUUUGGUGAUAACAUUUAUGAUAGAAAUGACUUUAUUAAAGAGAUUUUAUACUACCUCUUGCGACUAUACAGUCUUUUGUAUGUGCUCCCUUGGUUGCAUGACAAUAUUCAAAAUAAACUUUAAUAGGCAGGCAUAAGUUUUUAACUUAUAACAUCUAGUCUUUUCUAGAUGUAUAGAGUCUCACUAAGUAUAAUUUUGUAAAUAAUCCAUUGUAAAAUUACAUGGUUUCAUUAUUUUCUACAAAUGUUUUACCAAUGGAAUUGAUAAAGUGGGAUUUUGAGGUAUAAAUAUUUCGAUAUUUGUUUAUUGGAUUGUUAAUGGAAGCAGAAGCGAAGUCUUCUCUGUUGUCACCAUUUGUGUUUGCAUUGAAACAGUUUAGAUUUUAAGCAUUGUCUAGUGUUUGUAUUGUAAACAUUAGAAAAAAAUCCAAACUGGUGCAACUAAACCAUCAUUUUCAACUUGCAUGGAGUUAUUCAUAGGGCAUUCUAUAAAUAUAUAUUUUUAUAAUCAUUAUAGGAAAUGUUUUAUACAUAAAGACGAUUGUAUCUUUCCUCUUUCAACUAUACCGUUUUGUACGUAAUUGGACUGCAUGACAACGUUCAAGACAAUUUUGUAAAUAACAAAUAAUGCCAUUAAAAAAAUCUAGUUAUUCUAGAUGAAUGGAGUCUCACAGGGUAUAAAUUUGUAAAUAUUUCAUCGUAAGAUAUCAUAGUUAAUCAGCUUAUGUAAAUGAUUUGGCAGUAGAAUAGAUAAUUACUAAUUGGCCUACUUCAGGCUGUGUAACUUUGCUGUGUGUCUUUUCAGUGAGUGUUAAUGGAGAAGGGAUAAACAGAUUUUACUGUCUGUCUUCAGACUUUAAGUCUCAUGUGGAGUAAAAGUUUAGGCGGUAGCCGUUGGUCUUUGGGAGCCUUGUGUACUUAUAACUUGUAACAAAGAAACCCCUCGUAUGUAUUUUUAUCUUUUGGAAGAAAGAGGAAGACGUAAGAAUGGAACUGUCAUUUUAAAUGAGAUUUACACACAGUGAAAAGACAUUCAGACGGUAAAAUUAUUGUUAUUUUUCUAUACUAUAGGAACGCACCUAUGAAAUGCAUUCUGUAAUGGAUACCGUAGAUACGUAUGUACACAAGAUUAUUACGGACCUGAUAACUGCUGUUUCAAGAGUAUUACCUUAUUUUUACUUGUUAAGUUAUUGAUUUACAUUUUUUUCUCUUUGAAGAUUGUGGUAUUUUAUUUCUAAGCUUAGACACAUUUCUAGAAGCCUGCUUUUAGAGUCAAAAAAGACUGCCUUUUUUAUAUCCAUUUGUUUUCUAAUCUCUUCUCAUGUGUAUACAUCAAUAUGAGAAUGACUUCUGUGGUUGCUAGUGUUUUGUUUUCCUGAUAGUUUUUUAAAAAUUUACUGUGGGUAUAUGUCGUAUGGAAACCCUGGUGGCGUAGUGGUUAAGUGCUACGGCUGCUAACCAAGAUGUUGGCAGUUCGAAUCCGCCAGGCGCUCCUUGGAAACUAUUUUGGGCAGUUCUGUUCUGUCCUAUAGGGUCGCUAUGAGUCGGAAUCGACUCGAGGGCGGUGGGUUUGGUUUUUGGGUAUAUGUUGUGUGAUGAUCACAAAUGAAUGUUAAAAAAUAUCAAAAAGCAUCUUAUACCUCUGUGCGUAAAUAAGUUAGAACAAUUUAAAGGCACUAGUCAGUGUUGGGCAAAAUAUGUUAAGAAUAUCUGGCAAUGACAAUCAAAAUUGAGCACGCCCAUUACUUUUGAAAUGGUAUGAUUUUUUGCUGGGAUUUUAUCUAUUCCAGUUCUCAGAAAUUUUAAGAAAAAAAUUUAGAUGAAAGUAACAAAUAACCGAACAUCUGAAAUACCUGCCAUUAAUCAAUAAAAGAAAUCUGGUAAUGCUUAUAGUUCAUUCAACACGUGACUAUAAUCCAUAUACCAAAAUGAUAUUCUGAAAUGGAAGGAUAUUUGUUGUAUUUUUGUAUUUAAAAUGCCAUAAAAUAGUAUAGAACAUUAUGUCACCUUGAACAACCAUCACCUAGUCCCCUUUUGCAUGGGUAGGUGUCUAGAUAGUCUAGCUGAAACGUUAAUGGUAAUUGUUCCUGGGGAAUGGGAUUAGCCUAAUAUCAUUAUGAAGUUAAAUAAUGCUUACUCUUCAGUGUUAUGAAAAUAGUGAUUAUUUUAACACCCUCUUUGAAAUAUACAUAUUUGAAUUUAAAAAAUGAAACAUUUCGUCAGUGUAUGUGCUAUAUGACAAAAAUCUUAAAUAAGUGAUUAUGUAUGAAUAGAAAGUUAUCUGUAAUAAAACAACCUAUUUAUGCCUGUCUUUAUUCCUGCUUAUCAUCAUCUUGGGAGUGUUGGGCUGUUGUAUUCAACUUUGUAUUCUCAGUGGCCAUUAUCAUUGGUUUUUGAAUGGUCUCAAGAAGAGAAUGUGAUUAGAGACUAGUGCAGCAGUCUUUCACAGUGAAACAGUAUUGGAUUACCCAUGGAAAGAAGAAAAGAGAAAAUGAGAUUUGAGAGAAUCACGAUGAGCAAAAUAUUAUUUGUAAAGAAGCUGAGGACAGCUGACAUUUUCAACAGCACCCCUCUUACAAAGUCCCGUAAUUCAUAAGUCUUAACUGCAAACCACAGGAGAUAAUAGUUCCAGGAAGAGACACUUCUGCUAUCUUUGUUUUUAACUGCGAGAAUAGCAUCGCCAGUGAAUGACCUGUUGCAGUACUCCUCGUUCAAGAAUUCUUCACUACCAUUUCUGGUCCCAGAAAUACGCUUUGGUAAUGACUGCAUAGGAAACUGAUGCCAUUGCUUCUACCACAAGCUUCACCAAAGUGGAACUACAGCCUUCUUCAUGCCUGCAGUUUCCUCCCUUUCACGUGUUGCAAUGGACACUCCUUACAGAUCAGAAAAGGGAAUAGGAACGCCGAUGUCGAUUGAAAAAAAAAAUCAUCUUUUUGUAGAACCCAGAGACGUAGAAGUUUGCAAAAAUAUCCUGUGCAUAUACUCAAGUUUUUCUCCUAGUUGAUGCUUACAAUUAUUUUGUAAGUUGGAAAGAAAUGAAGUUUUAAUUUCAUUUGCACCAAAUUUAAUAGAUUAUCUGGGAGAGACUAGAUCUCUUUAAAACUGAGCCUUCUUAACCAUCUACCAGAUUGAAGCUGUGCAUUUUUAGCAGGAAUGCAACAGGAAUGAUGUGCCCUUCUCAGUCCGUCAUCAGGAGGCAGACGAUGUUGAAUCAUGUGUUGAGGAGGAGGUGCUACAGGAGCAGAAUGGCCUGUAAUAACGAGCUGUCACAUGGAGCAAAGCCACCAUGGAGAGGCAUCCGACCAGAUCUGGAAGGAACUUAUCAUGAGUGAGAAGUAAACAUAUCUUGUGUGAAGCCAUUGAGUUUUUGAUGUUAUUGUGACUUUGAACUGUAGUAAUAAAGAAGGAUAAACACAUGCAGUAAUUCAAGGAUUGGUAGAUACAUGCAUUAAAGAAUUGAGGUUGGAUUGAUGGUUUAAAGCUAAGUUGUAAGAAUGGGUGGAUGGGCUGUUGAAUAGAUGGGUGGAUGGAUGGAUAGUAUGAAGGAGAAUUAAAUGUUCAUAUAAAGAUGUAUGUGAGUUUAUGAAGUUUAUGAGAAUUUAAUAAUUAAUAUAUGAAUGAAUGCAAUACUGGAUAUUUAGAAAGAAGGAUGGAAAGGAGGAUGCAAAAAUAUAUUGCUUUUUGUAACUCAGAACAUAACAAUGUAUGGAUGAAAAAUUGGCUGGAUGGAAGAAUAGAAGAGUGGAAGGAAAAUAGAAUGUAUGAGUGGAUGACUGGAUGCUAGAAUUAAGAAUAAAUGUUUUGAAAAACAGAUAGAUGCAUAGAUGUUGGAAUUUGUUCCAGAAUGGAAAGUUGGAUGAAUGGAUCAUGUAUACGUAUAUGAGUUUUUAGAUUGAUGGAUGCAAGUAUGACUAGCUAAGAUAACGGAUGAAUGUAGGAAUCAAAGCUAAUAUGCAAGCAUAAAGUGAUACAAUAAUAGAUGCACAUAUGUAACGUUGAAUGAAAAGACAUAUGGGCAUCGAGCAGUUAACCUGUAUUGCUGCCAUAGGCAUAUUUGUUACAAUUUAUAAAAUCAGAAAAGUGUAGCAUUUAGACUCUUCAAGUGUUGUUAUUGUAAAACUAGCAAAAAUAGAAACCAGCCAUAGUAAGUUCACAAAUUAGUUUUCUCUAAUCAUUACACACACACACACACACACACACACACACACACACACUCUUGUUCUGCAUAACGUCUGUUCCGACAAUGUCCAACCACAUAUAUAUCUGUGGUCCUGUAAGAUUAUAAUAGAGUUCAUUAAUCCCAAUCAGAGAUUGGGACGUAGUGGAUGUAACUGGAUGUAGGGAAUACAACAGCUUCCUGCAUGUAACGUGUAUCUCAUGUCUCUUGUAUAUAAAGGCAGUUGUGCUACCAGGAAUAUAAUGGUACAGUACAUAUAUAACCUAUAAUACACCCAUGUCUUGGUAGUCAUAAUAAAGGCUUGUGUUACUGGCUCAUGUAUGUACUGUACUGUACUUUCUAUCAUUGUAUUAAUGUGAACUUCCCCUACUUACAAAUAAAAAGUUUAUUGUGUAACUGUGUAUCCUUUGACUCGUAGGCAGCAACAUCCACACAGCAACAUCCACUCGUGUGUAUUGCAUGUCUCUUGUGUAUUGUAGUGUUAUCUCUCUGUUUAAUUUUCUUUCAAAAAUAUUACCGGAAGUGCCCCAUUGCCUCCAAAUGCAGCAAAACCAUUGCUGGUGAUAGCAGCAGGCUGCACAGGAGAAGCGUCAGUUUGGAAGUGAAAGAAAAGGUUAUUAAACAACACUAAAGUGGAGAGUCAGUGAAUGCUGUUGCUCAUGAUUUAGACAUGUUCACACAAUAUCGAAAUCAUGUGUGUCCCAUUUCACAGGACGUGUCGUGGACAUUAAGCGACGCAUAUGUGUAUAUAACGUGUGUGUGUGUAUAUAUAUAAUACUGCGAAGAAUGGGAAUUCCGGAACACUUAAUUGUGCUCAUGAGGAAGCUUUACAUAGAUCAGGAGGCAGUUGUUCACACAGAACAAGGGGAUACUGAUUGGUUUGAAGUCAGGAAAGGUGUGCGUCAGGGUUCUUUCACCAUACCUAUUUAAUCUGUACGCUGAACAGAUAAUAUGAGAAGCUGGACUAUAUGAAGAGGAAUGGGGCAUCAGGAUUGGAGGAAGACACGUAAACAACCUGCUAGAAAGCAUACAAGAUUGUCUAAUGGUGGAGUGAUGAUCAGUUAAAUACAAAAGAAGAGAUAAAAUGAAACUUUAUGUUAAUUUUGAUCCAGUGUUGAAAUAUAGGUUAUGUAGAUUUUGAUUUACUGUUCCCAUCUACUCUCACUAUAAAAGGUGAUGUUUUCUGGACAGAGACUAUAAUUUCUUUCUGUACAUUCAGUAAAUUUUAAAUUACUUGGUAGACAGUAAAUGUUUUGGAAUAAGAGUGUAAAUGGUGGAUAAGUGGAGGGAGAGAAGGAAGAAGUCAGGCAGGUGUGAAAAAAAGGUAAAGGAGGUACAAAAUGAUGAAAAUCAAAGUUAUUAGGAAGUAGAAUUUGCUGCAAAAAAUAUGGAUUUUAAUUACAGUAGGAGCCUGAAUUUUUGUUCAAGUCCAUGAUUUAAGGUAUUGCUAAUGAUCUCAGUGGGUAUGUGAGGUGGUGUGUAGAAGCUGAAGAUUAUUCCAACAUGAGAGUAAUAGAAGUAGGUUGUUGAUACCCCUCCAUUUGAUGAUUGAGUGAAUAACCUUAAAGUAUUUUCAAAUAUUCUUUUUUUUUUUUUUUUCUUUUUACAAGCAAGGACCAAAAAGACUUUCCCUGCAGGUAAGAGUAUGAAGGCCUGUAUUCUGAUUUCUAAAAUGUGCUUUUGGGUAUUUUGAUGGUGGAUUACAUUAUUUUCUGAGUUAACACUAAAUGUCCUUUGUUUUUAUUGUGAAAGUUUAAUCCAGGAUUUUUUAGUUGUCUCUUGUUAGUACAGAAAAUUAAUGAAAUUAGAAAUUGAAAUACAAAGAAUUUUUUUGAUUUGCACCAUCAGAAGUUGUCCAAGAACCAUCCAGGAAAACAGGGAGAAUGAAUAUGUGGAUCAUGUGAUACCGAGUAUUGGUUUUUAGAAAGAUUUCCAUGAAAUACUAUGAAAUAUACUGACAGCAUUUGUUUUAAUAUUUGUAUCGUCAUUUUUUUUUUAAUUGCCAAGCGGGGAUAUAAAUUGGCACUCAUAAGGUACACAGGAAACCCUGGUUCAAAGAAUAAGUGGGUAGUUAAAUGUCAUGAAAAUAAUUUAGAAUGGGAGAUUAAAUUCACAGUAUAUGCAGAGCAGAAAUAAUGACGAGUUCUUGAUUUUUAUAAAAUAAAUAUACUUGGUUUUUGUAGCUUAGAAGUUAUUUAGGAUGAGGAUCAUGGGUGUUGUUUUCUAUGGCAUACUAAGUAAGUACUUGAUUAUAUCAGUCUGUCAUGAGGCAUGGCUAUGUCAUAAUGUGUUGUUUGUCUUAAUUUGCAGUCUCUCCUUCUGAACUCUCCCAGGUGGUGACCAUGUUGACCAGAGGAUCUUGUAUACCUUCUGCAGUGGUGCCAUUUAUAGCACCACCCAGUUGCUCAUAUUAUACCUCCCUCCUGGGAACUUACUGAAUUUAUGUACAUCAAGGUGGACAAUUUUAUAUAAGUGCCCCCUGAAAUAGAAAUGAUCUACUUUUUGGCACGUAUUUGCCUGGAGUGUUGUUAAGACUUUAAAUGACCUUCUUUGGAACUUGCUGGUUAUCAGGUGGCUUAGGUUGCACUUCUCUUCACUCUGAGUAUAUUUUGUGAUUUUCUCUGAUGUCAUGCUUACUGCAUUGUAUUUUAUUUAUUAAUGUUUCAUUUUAAAAAUAAGAGUGAGAUUUUAGUGUGGUACACAGAAUUGAUCCAACCCACAGAUACCUUGGCCAUGUCCCAGAUGAUAGCCAGGCCUUCUUAGAAGGUGGGUACCUCUCAAGUGUCAGUUUGGAACCAUUUUUAAGAUAGUUUGUUCCUGAUUUAACUCAUGGACCCACAGUUCUCCAAGAGGUCUCAGACAACAUCCACUUAAACAUUAGUGUUACCUGCACUAGACUGUUUGUAGUUGCCCCAUUUAUUAAACGUAGUAGGGCUCUCUCUAGAGAAGAAUCUGCAAGUGACUGUAGUUCACCUCUUCCCCAGUGCCCACACCUGAGAUCUGGAUUCCAUCAAGAGAGAGACAAACCUUUGUAGUAAAAAUUCAGGCCAUGGUGAAACCAUCAUGUAGACCACAUGGUCCCAUCAUUGUCUUGGUAUCUCUAGAAUUCUUUUGGGUGGAGUAAAAAACUAAAGGCACCGCAGAUUUUACUGCUCUUCAUAUUACCCUAAUUUUCAUUUAUUUUCUGUUUCACCUAAGUGUGUUUAAUAUAGAAGACUAUGUUUAUUUGACAUUAUAAUUGUCUAAUUCUGGAAGAUAAACCACACUGUCCAUCAGGGAGUUACCUUGUCCAGCCUAUCUCAAUAGAUUGUUUUAUAUAGUAGCAUCACAUAAUAUUACUUUAAUAGUAUAGUGUUUGCAAUAAAAAAAAAAUUGCCUGGAAAUUCAAGAUCAUAUUAUAAUCCCUUUCCUUUAAGUCAAGUUAUUUUUACCAACAGAAGAUUUAAUGGUUUUAAAAGUCUCAUAAACAUGUACAGCCAGCAAUGUUUCCUUUCUCAUUAUCUUGUUCUCCUUAUUGCCAGCUAGAUGCUAAGGUAGAACUUAAAUUUUUUUUAAUACUCAUUGAUUUUACACACAGAGAAGUUCCGUUUGUACUUCCAAGGUUGUAUUAUUGUAUCCCAGGACAUUUCGUGUGAUGAACUCUUUCUAAGUUCAAAAUGUACAUACGGUAUAAGAAGAUUGAUAUCCCAAUGAUACACCUUUUAGGUUGCAUAAGAUAAAAUAUAACACUUGUUGGUAGUCUAUGCCAGGUGUCAGCAAACUUUUGUCUGUAACAGGGGCCAUGCUGUCAAAUCUCUGCCUUGGUAGUGUGAAGACAGCCAUAGGUAAUGUGUAACCUGUAAAUGGAUGCACUUUUGUUUCAGUAAAACCUUAUUUACAAAAUGAAAAGUGACAGGGUGCAUUUGGACCACAGGCUUUAAUUUGCUGAACCCUGGCCUAAGGCAGCUAGAUAGAGAAACCAGAAGAGAGUGAAAAAAUGUUUUCUCUUCCCAUACCCUUUUUCUGAAUCCUCAGCAUUACAAAGUGUUUAAUUAGAUAACAAAUGGGAGAAAUCUGCUUUUAGGCCUUUGAAUUUUGGGCUCUAAAAGCUAAGUAAAGUGUCUGUUCUUCCUAAUGCUUUUUUAAAAUUUAUUUUAAAGUUUCCACUUAGGCUUAACCUAGUACUUGAACCAGGACCACCAAGUAUGGGUCAUUAAAACAAUAUAAAGCAAAUUGCGAUCACUCAUGCUCCAUUUUCCAUUCCUCCUUCCUAGGGUUGACAAGAGUUAACCACUUGUGCUAUAGUGUACAGUAACUUUUCUAAUUAUAUAACUUUAUGUGGAAUUCAUUUUAUAAAUAUUUAAUCAUUAUGGUAGAUACUGUUUUACAGCCGGUUUUUUUCUUUAGUAUAUUGUGAACUUACUUCCAAAUCAAUAAAUAUAGCUCAUCAACAGACUUUUUGUUGGAUAUAAAGCACAUGUCAUAAUGAGUUUAUCCAUUUUCCUAUUUUGGGAAGUGCAGGUCAGCUUCUUUUCUGUUCUUGCUGUUUCGUAUAUAAUGUUGUGAUGUGUGUUAUCAGUAUAUAUCUGUAUCAGUGCGCUUGGGCUCAUAAUUCUAUAGGGUAGAUUCUGUUUUUGCUGUUUCGUAUAUAAUGUGAUGUGUGUAUCAGUAUACGUCUGUAUCAAUGCGCUUGGGCUCAUAAUUCUAUAGGGUGGAUUUCUGGAUGUGACAUUGUUGGAAUAGUGGUUAUGUAGACUUUUGAUUUCAGUGGAUAUUGUGAAAUUGCCCUUUUGAAAAUGUUUUUUCAGCAUUGGUGUGAAAGCAUUGCUGAUUUUCAUAAAAAAUUUGUGCAUGAUCGAUCUUAUUAGUCCUUUACAAUUUUAGCCAAUCUACCAAAAAAAAAAAAAAAAACCUAGUAGAUGAAAAUUCAAUUUUUUAACUUAAAAAGUCUGAUUUCAUGCCAUGGAGAAAAAAAGACCAAACAGUGAUGGAUGAUUUAUAGUAAAGAUGAAUGGUCCAUUUUUCAUCUAGUCACAAGCAUCAUCACGAUUGUCAGAGGCAGACACUAUUAACCUUUUCCAAAUUUAGCAUUUCUGGGAAGUUCAUAUACUCAUUAAGAGUACCUUAUUUGAGUGUUUCUAUUUUUUUUUUUUUUUUGGCUUUUUAUUUUUUAAGUAAUUUUAGACUUAGAGUUUUAAGAGUCAUGUAGAAAAAACCUACAUAGUCUUCACUCAGGUUUACUGUUUUCUUCUACAUUGUUAUGCCCUCUCUCUCCCUCUCACCAUGUGUGUGCACUCUCUCUCUCCCUUUGUUAACAUUGUUUGUGAACUGUUUGUGAUUAAGUAACAGAGAUAAGAUCCCUUUAACCUAAAAUACUUAAGCGUGCACAUUAUGAGAGCCUGGGUGUCUUCUUAGGUUAACCUUGAUAGAACUUUCAAACUCAAGAAAUUUAUCACCAGUAAAGAGCUAUUAUGUAACACAUUCAGGUUCAGUCAGUUGUCCUAGUAAUGUCCUUCACAACAUUUUUUCCCCGAUACAGAAUCCAGAAAGGGAAUCCUGUAUUGCAUUCAGGUGUCAUGUCUUUUCAGUCUCAUUUGACUAGGAAAGGAUAUUAAGUGAAUUCUAAGGCAAAACUACACAGUUCAUAAAAAUACCACCUCAUAUCCAUUUGACAGUUUGAAAAUUUCUCUGUUAUUUUCCCACCCAGUUUGUCCUAUGGAAUGUAUAGUAAUGUUUUCUUUAUAUUUCCAUAGCAUUUUUAUAUAUUAAAACAAGUUAGUAGGAUAAAAAUCAGUGUGGAGGAUGUCUAGAUAAAAUACUGAUAAAAUAAGCAAAAGUGGAAAUAGCAAGGCAGGUUACAUGGCCAUUUAAAUAGGCAUAAGAAAGUUUGGUGGCCUGUACUAGGUUGGUUGAUACAGAAGUGUUGAGACAUACUAGAAUUUCAGUGUAUUUGAAAGUAUUGCCAGUUCUACAUGAUAAAGCAUUGAAUAUUGUACAGGAGAGGGGGUUUAAAUAGGACUCUUAAUAUCAGAGCCUCAAGAGCCGAGUGAAUGGUAAUGUGUUUUACUAUGAUAAGGAAGACUUAGGGAAGGUUGAGUUUCUCAUAGUGGAUGACAAAUAGAUGUCUUUUUUGGCCAGUGAAAGCUUUAAAUUCAUAUUAAACCCCCUGGGAAAGAUACAGAUUUCUAGGUUGGAAAGAGGAAGCUGGGACUCAUGAGUGUGUUUGGCGAUAGAUAUAUUACUUUGAAUUCAUCAAUAAAUGACUUAUUUAUGACUAUGGGAAAGGAUGAGCACUAGAAAUGGAAUGCAUAAUGCAGGGAGGAAUAGUCUGAAUUCUGAGCCUUAGAGGCUCUAAUGUUUAGGUAUUGAGAAAAUGAGGAGGAUCCUUUAAAGGAGAUGGUUAAGACCAACCAGAGUUAUUGGAUGAAAACCAAGGGAUUGUGGUGCUUGUGAGGGCAGUCGAUUAAUGUCUUUUGAAAAGGAAUAGGGACAGGAGUUGGCUUUUGUGUAGAAAUAAAGAUACUGUUGAUUAUAAGUAAAAGCGCAUUUUUGAGAGAGAAGGCAGGGAUUUUAAUAUCGGCGUGCUCAAAUCAAAGAAUCCCUCUCAGUUGACUGUUUUACCUGUAAUGUUGUUACCCAUGUCUGCCCAGCACAGACACAUGCUGAUACCUUGUGAGUGGUUUGCAGGAAACAAUAAUGAGAACAUAAUAAAAGAAAGGCUCUGGUUGAGGCAAGUUGUACAAAUCAAAUUGUACAAUCCUAGUUAGUCUAGGAAUUGAGGGAGUGAAAUGAGAACAUACAGAAGGUAGAAUUUUGAAGGAAAUAAUUGCAAGGGCAAGGCAGAACAGUGCUGAGCCUACAUUUUAGACACUAGCUCCAGGAGAUAGUAAAUGGAAGUAGCACGAGUUAAGUCAGGGAGCAGAUAUGACUUUGGAAGAUGAUCUUUUCCAGUUAUGUCCUGGAAAGGGUGUUACCCAUUUACCUAGAAAUGUAUUGUACAUUGUCAUUCCUCAACUUGUGUGUUAGAGAUGAGUGUGUGGAAUUUUUAUUGUCCUACCUGUCUAAAUUGUCACCACGUAAUUUAUAAUGUGCUUUAUGUCAUUAAUAUUUAUCAAAUUUUGUUUCAUUCUUCCUUUUCAUGUCUGUUUAACAGACUAGAAAUGAUGAGCUCCUUUUGACAGGGAUGUAUCCUUUCUCGUAUUUACCUUUCCAUUAUCUUACACAGCCUAAUGUGUAGCAGAUGUCUGCUUUAAUAAUCAUGUUGACUAGACUACUUGUUUACACUGUGUGGGUGACUGAGAUUUGAUGAAUGAGCCAACCUCUAUAAACAAGAGUUUAUAGAGGCCUGAUAUGAGGUAGCUCUUUGAGGAUAUUUUUGGGACAUAUUAUGGUAUGACAGGAAACCAUAGCAUUUGUAGAAUACAGUAAAUUGGAAUGUGCACAUAUAGGUUGUAGGGUUGAAGGACUGAGCUUCCGUUAGAAUACGCUGUCUUUUAAUAAUGAAAAUUUGGGAUUCAAUUGUAAACCCUAACAGAGUUUGGGGUGUAGGAUGUUACUCCUCUUUUCUUUCCUGUGGAGUUCAGCCCCUUGUAGGGCCUGUGCCAGUGGUGUCCUCUUUUUCACUGUGUCCUCUAAAAACCAACCCAGUGCCGUCGAGUCGAUUCCAACUCAUAGGGACCCUGUAGGACAGACUAGAACUGCCCCAUAGAGUUUCCAAGGAGCGCAUGGCUGAUUCAAACUGCCAUCCCUUUGGUUAGCAGCCGCAGCACUUAACCACAAAGCCACCAGGGUUUCCAACAAUCUAAGGAGGAAUCCUUAUGGAUGGUGAACUUUUUACUCUGAAAAGAGCCAGCAUAUUUUGUAGUAUUGCUCGUUUUAUGUGUUAUCAGUCCCUCAAAAGGAUUCAUUUUCUACAUGAACAACCCUUCUAUUUAAAAAAAUUUCUUGAAAGAGAAGGUCUUUACUUGGAGAGAGGCUUCAGACAGAUUAAUGAUGAGAUGCUAAAUUGUAGAAUAUAGUAACUGAUUCAUGAUUUUUAAUCAUGAGAGGGAAAAAUAUAGCAGAACCUGUGGACCUGGCUAGCUUCAGAGAGACCAUUCAGUGUUAUCAUAAUACUGUACUUACAUUACUUAGAAAAUUCCAACUUUUAAAAAUUGUUCUGUUAUAUAUAUAUCAUACCAUGCUGAGUAUGGUCAGUAUCCCAAAAGUAUGAUAGAGUUAUACUCAUGUCUGUGGCCCUGUUUACUCGUUUAGUAUUGUAAUUCAAAGAGUCCUGAAGAAAUGUCUACUGAUAAAUGGCAGAUGGGGCUUGGGUAUAUGUGUUUGGAAUAAAAGACUAAGUAAGACAAAAGGAAAAGGAAAAGGAAUUAUAGGUGAGUUAUUUUUGAUUCAAUGGAUUGUUUUGUCUCUGUCCCCCAAAAUAAGUAUAAUGAGCUUCUGCUUAACAGGGCUUUUUUUUUUUUUUUUCUGUUGUCUUGUUUUAUUCUAUGUCAAAAAGGGAGAGUUUCAUUUAAGUUUGUUGGUAAACAGAUGUGUGAAUGAAUGAAUGAGAGAGAUCAUGAAUGAUUAGAAAAUGUAGCAAUAAAAGAGAGAUGGUGAUAUUUAUAUAGCCUUGCACUGUAGUUUGAGUAAUUUGGAAAUAUGCUUUGUUUGGCAGUAUUGAAAAGACGAACAUAAAAUUUAGUGAAUUUUUCUGAGCUAUGGACAUGUAGAUGCUAACUUUUUUAGAAAGUAGUGUUUGUGUGAGUGUUUUUAAUUAGUGAUAGGUAGCAACCAUCAAAAUGUCUGAAUUCGGAAAAUUAGAAAAGGAUUUAUUUGGGGGGCUUUCCUCCUUUCCCUGUUCAACUUUAAUGUGUAGUUUUCAUAUGGCUAUUGUUCCUACCUUGCCAAAUUUUAAAAAUUUGUGCUGGGAAAGCUAAGGGCCACCGUUGGCAUCAGUUUUGGCCUGUCUUCAGAUAUUUUGUGUAUACAAGGAAAUGGGGUUUUCUGGACUGAGGAAUGCUUUCUUUGUUGCCCAUGGAAAUAUGUGGGCUUAAUUGCUGUGUCAGUUGCUACUACCUUUGUUUGAUUCCUAAAGUUUUUGAAUCUUGAUUCUUAGUUAAGAUUUUUAUCUUGGCUAUUUUUUUUUUUAUUCUCAAGUUGGAAGUAAUUGCUUCAAUAAUUUUCUCAUCUCUUGAUUUUUAUUAGCCAUAGGUAAGAUGCCCAACUUAAAUGACUGUAGAAAAUAUUUGUUUUUACCA